rnacentral:ribozyme from 1 species
UCUCUUGCCCCCUGAGACGAGACCAUGCACUGAAACGAAAAGGGAGGAAGGAGGGAGAGGACGACAUAGCAUCCCCCCAUGCACUCAAUUGAGGAUGGAAGAAAAGAAUUAAGCGGAGAGAAGAG